GAUGAACGCUGGCGGCGUGCCUAAUACAUGCAAGUCGAGCGAACAGACGAGGGGCUUGCUCCUCUGACGUUAGCGGCGGACGGGUGAGUAACACGUGGAUAACCUACCUAUAAGACUGGGAUAACUUCGGGAAACCGGAGCUAAUACCGGAUAAUAUAUUGAACCGCAUGGUUCAAUAGUGAAAGACGGUUUUGCUGUCACUUAUAGAUGGAUCCGCGCCGCAUUAGCUAGUUGGUAAGGUAACGGCUUACCAAGGCAACGAUGCGUAGCCGACCUGAGAGGGUGAUCGGCCACACUGGAACUGAGACACGGUCCAGACUCCUACGGGAGGCAGCAGUAGGGAAUCUUCCGCAAUGGGCGAAAGCCUGACGGAGCAACGCCGCGUGAGUGAUGAAGGUCUUCGGACCGUAAAACUCUGUUAUUAGGGAAGAACAAAUGUGUAAGUAACUAUGCACGUCUUGACGGUACCUAAUCAGAAAGCCACGGCUAACUACGUG
rnacentral:rRNA from 1 species